rnacentral:rRNA from 1 species
CACGUAGGGUGCGAGCGUUGUCCGGAAUUAUUGGGCGUAAAGAGCUCGUAGGCGGUGUGUCGCGUCGGCCGUGAAAACCUGCAGCUUAACUGUGGGCUUGCGGUCGAUACGGGCAUCACUGGAGUUCGGCAGGGGAGACUGGAAUUCCUGGUGUAGCGGUGAAAUGCGCAGAUAUCGAGGAGGAACACCGGUGGCGAAGGCGGGUCUCUGGGCCACUAACUGACGCUGGAGAAGCGGAAAGCAUGGGGAGCGAACAGG